rnacentral:misc_RNA from 1 species
GCAAACUUGGUCAUUUAGAGGAAGUAAAAGUCGUAACAAGGUUUCCGUAGGUGAACCUGCGGAAGGAUCAUUACAGAGCGUUGCCCCCUGAAAUACGGGGGCGCCUCCCGUCCUUUGCCGGCCCUCGCGGGCUUUCGACUUCUGCUUCGGCGGGGUUACCCGCCGGAACACCUUCAAAUCCUUCGUCAAACCGUUCCGUCCGAGACGCAUGAGAAUUAGCGAAAAACUUUCAACAACGGAUCUCUUGGUUCUGGCAUCGAUGAAGAACGCAGC